rnacentral:rRNA from 1 species
CCUACGGGAGGCAGCAGUGAGGAAUAUUGGUCAAUGGGCUUACGCCUGAACCAGCCAAGUCGCGUGAGGGAAGACUGUACUAUGGGUUGUAAACCUCUUUUGUCAGGGAGCAACGCCGGCUACGUGUAGCCGGACUGAGAGUACCUGAAGAAAAAGAAUCGGCUAACUCCGUGCCAGCAGCCGCGGUAAUACGGAGUAUGCGAGCGUUAUCCGGAUUUAUUGGGUUUAAAGGGUGCGUAGACGGAAUGCCAAGUCAGCGGUAAAAUCGCGGGGCUCAACCCCGCGCCGCCGUUGAAACUGGCGUUCUGGAGUGGGCGAGAAGUAUGCGGAAUGCGGGGUGUAGCGGUGAAAUGCAUAGAUAUCACGCAGAACUCCGAUUGCGAAGGCAGCAUACCGGCGCCAAACUGACGCUGAAGCACGAAAGCGUGGGUAUCGAACAGGAUUAGAUACCCCUGUAGUC